UGGGGAAUAUUGGACAAUGGGCGCAAGCCUGAUCCAGCCAUGCCGCGUGAGUGAUGAAGGCCCUAGGGUUGUAAAGCUCUUUCACCGGUGAAGAUAAUGACGGUAACCGGAGAAGAAGCCCCGGCUAACUUCGUGCCAGCAGCCGCGGUAAUACGAAGGGGGCUAGCGUUGUUCGGAUUUACUGGGCAUAAAGCGCACGUAGGCGGACUAUUAAGUCAGGGGUGAAAUCCCGGGGCUCAACCCCGGAACUGCCUUUGAUACUGGUAGUCUUGAGUUCGAGAGAGGUGAGUGGAAUUCCGAGUGUAGAGGUGAAAUUCGUAGAUAUUCGGAGGAACACCAGUGGCGAAGGCGGCUCACUGGCUCGAUACUGACGCUGAGGUGCGAAAGCGUGGGGAGCAAACAGG
rnacentral:rRNA from 1 species